ACCACUGAAGGAUCCAGUGACUUUUCCUGAUGGACUUUGGAACAAGAUUUUCACACCUAGGGCUGCUGGAGUUGAAGCUACUUUGUCCUGUAUGGACCAUUAGCCUGAGAGCUGCCAGAUAUGAAACACCAGAUUGCUAAAAGAAACACCUGAAGCAGUAAAUUACUAGACUCUUCCAGCUUGGGACUGUGCAAGGCAGAAGAGCAGAAGCCAUAAGAAGUGUGUCUCCCUCCAGAACCCAGGACAUGCCCACCCUUUCAAAUGAUAGAAACUUCACUUAUGCUGGGCUACAGCACAGUUGUCCUCCUGCACCAGAUACUCUAAACUGAAAAAAUGCCACUACCAGCCAAAGAGUCUUUGGAAAGCCCAGAGCCUAAUGACUAAUUUAACCUGAGGGGGGAAGGAUGAGAAUUUUUCUUCUAAUCUUGAUGAGAGUACCACAUGGUGGUAUUCUUAGGCAAGACAAGCAUCUUUGCACUGCUUGCCUUAGAUUCAUUUAUCAUUCCUAGGCACAGCCAAUGCCCUACCACAAAGGCUUUGUAUGGAAUUUGCUACGUUUCACACAGUUCUGCUGAGCUCCGUGUUUCAUGCUCUUAGUCCCACCUGAGGUAGCAGAUGGACCCUCCCCACCUCUAGAGACUGAAUGUGAAGAGUACAGGUGACUUCUGUCUGUCCCUAUCCAAACUGAAACGAUAAGGAGAUGAGCAUAAUUCUGAAGUCUUGAGAACCCUACAGGGGCAACUGAAUGCCUGCUCUCCUGGAAGAGCCUCACAGGAUUAGCUGUGUAGCUUGGGACGCUGAGUGAGCCUGAGCAGGAAGAACCUUUGCAGCACUUGGGCAUGCACAAUAUCUGCCGAGAGGGUUUGUCACUAGAGGGAGUCACAGACUUUAAGAAAUAAGCAAACACAGCCCUGUUUGUAUUUCCAAUGGAUGAGCGCGUCACAGUUACGUCAAUGGAAAGACUCAAAAUUUCCUCUGAUUUCACUUUCAGUGUCAUUUAUAUCCUUAGCAAAUUUCCCACAAGAGUGUGCAUUCUUGCUUUCACGCUGCAUUUGGCUAGUGAGGACAGGAGUUCUUGACAUCAGCUGCCUCUCUGACGUGAUGUUCCCUUCCCUGUCCUUCCUCCUCCGCUCAGUUCCCAGCACCGUCCUGCAUGCCUCCCUUCUCUCUGCCUGAUGUUGAGCACUCUUUUCACCCUAUUUGGAAGAAAUUCAUCUCCCUAAACAGAGGAAUAUCAAUAAGGCAGACACACCUUUUUAGUGAGUGAGCUGAGCAGCUCAGUGCAGAGCCUGGUUUGGCCCGAGCCCCAUGCUGGGAUGGUGGGUUCAGUCCCUACAUGGGCCAUUCCUGUGAGAGUUGGAUUCAAUGAUCCUCGUGGGUCCCUUCCAGCUCAGAAUAUUCUGUGAGUCUGUGAAAUAGCUGAGCCAGCACAAGCUGGAGCAGAGACCACAUGGUCAGAGUGGAAGAAAAAGAUGUUUGGCCUUUUUUUUUGUCAGAAAACCUGAGAACUGAGUAGUGUGUUCAGCUGUACUGUGAAACUGCACCCAUGGUCACCUUCCCAGGUGUCCUGCAGGAACAUGCAGGGCUCCUACGUAUGCACCAUUCUUACACAGAUUAUCUUUCUUCACCCAGGUUCAAAUUAUGCAAUGCAAGCCCUUCCCUUGUAAAAUAAAAAGAAUCUUAAAGAAAGAAAAGAAAGAAUUUUCUGAUUGCCUUUCUACUUAUAAAUUUGACUUCAUUAGAAACACCCUCCUCUCA